UACGGGGGGGGGCAAGCGUUUGUUCGGAAUUACUGGGCGUAAAGGGCUCGUAGGCGGCCAACUAAGUCGGAUGUGAAAUCCCCAGGCUCAACUUGGGAACUGCAUCCGAUACUGGAUGGCUUGAAUUCGGGAGAGGGAUGCAGAAUUCCAGGUGUAGCGGUGAAAUGCGUAGAUAUCUGGAGGAAUACCGGUGGCGAAGGCGGCAUCCUGGACCGACAUUGACGCUGAGGAGCGAAAGCUAGGGGAGCAAACAGG
rnacentral:rRNA from 1 species